rnacentral:tRNA from 1 species
GGGGCAUUAGCUCAUCUGGUAGAGCGUUUCGUUCGCAACGAAGAGGUAGGCGGUUCGAGUCCGCUAUGCUCCA